UACGGAGGGUGCAAGCGUUAUCCGGAUUCACUGGGUUUAAAGGGUGCGUAGGUGGGUUGAUAAGUCAGUGGUGAAAUCCCCGAGCUUAACUUGGGAACUGCCAUUGAUACUAUUUGUCUUGAAUACUGUGGAGGUCAGCGGAAUAUGUCAUGUAGCGGUGAAAUGCUUAGAUAUGACAUAGAACACCAAUUGCGAAGGCAGCUGGCUACACAAAUAUUGACACUGAGGCACGAAAGCGUGGGGAGCAAACAGG
rnacentral:rRNA from 1 species